GUCUACAGUUGCUGUCUAGAGAGGUGCCAAGAAAGACUCGGCUUUUGCCCCUCAAGCUUAGUGCACUGUUCGAUAUUUACUGUAAAGGUUCCUGAAACUGACAGAGGGAAGCCAACACAAAUUUAUCCUCCUCAAGAUCCACUCGACCCAAGUCCAUAAGACGAUCACCUGCAAACUCAAACAUGUGAAGCAUGGAGAGCGCAUGAAGCAGAAAGCGGCGUGCGCACUAAAACACACAGUUGGUGUUGUAGGUCAGCUUGUUUGCCCAGUCUGGAGAUUGUGGGAGGAAAUGGGCUAGGCCCAGGAAAUUCAUUUCCUGAGAGGGAGCCAGCUGGCGUUAUGUGUCAAAGAAGAUGGAGGCAGUGGCCUGCAGUUAUAAGCACAACAACAAGACCAGAUCAGGACCACGUGGACAUGGAGGAGUAGACUGAGCUGAUGUUGUUCUUCAUAGCAGACCAUCCCCUAUGCUGACUGUUGCUUCUGGACGAGGCUCACAAGCACUCAGGGUGGAACCACAUUGUGAUGGAAACAUGGCAUCACAUCACAGAGGGGCCCAGAACUCCCACAUGAGGAAAGCCACAUUCCUGGAGCAGUGUGAGGCACUCGCUCUGGCCCUUGAGCAGCAGAACAGCCAGUUGAGAGAGCCAAAAAUUGUCCAGAAGUACGUUGCUAUUGCCUUGUGGAAGCUGCCAACCCCAGGCUGUUAUAGAUUUGUUGGCAACCUGUCUGCGGUAGGCAAAUCCACAGCUGGCACUGUGGUCAUGGAGGUUUCCAAGGCAAUUUAUACUGUGCUGGCCCCCAGGGUUGUAAAACUUGGAAAUAUUCUUGAAAUAAUUGCAGGAUUUGAACAGAUGAGGUUCCCGAGAUGUGCAGGUGUGAGUGAUGACAAGCAUACACCCAGCCUUUGCCUGCCAUUUCAAGCAAGCAAGUAUAUUAAUAGGUUUACUGAAAGCAAAAGGGCCCAGUGGGAGGAAUGUGUUAUAGGAGAUCCUCAAGUGAGUGGUGAAAAAAAUGUACAGGAAUCCUUACCAGAAAGCAUACCUCCUUAGGCAAGUAACCCAU